UAUGCAUCAAUUUGUCUUAAUGAUUCUAAGAACUUCUUCUUACCUCUUGAGAGAAGUGGAGUGGUGAUGGCUGCUGGUGCCGAGCAGCAUGUGAGAUGGGCACAUGGGGAGCAGCACUGGAUCCUGGACCACCGGGCCUUCCCUGGGUUGUAGGGGCCUCAUGUCGAUAGGCAAGCACCAUGCCUUUUGUACUCUCGCCUCCACGUUCCAUGCACAUAUUGCGUGAGUGCACAGAUGAUACUUAAAAUGAUCUAGAAUUAUAUUUAGUUAUAGUCCUAUCCCCUUCCUUUCCAGAUGACUAAACUGAGGCACAGCCAAGCUGAGUAAAGUUUGUUCAAGGUCAUGAAGCUGAAUAGUAAGAAAACCAGAAUCCAGGUGCACUAGCAGAUCUUUGAAGUCAUCCUGCCUUCCUGUUG
rnacentral:lncRNA from 10 species